AGCUUGUAUCUACUCUUCUGGAUGCUGAUGGAAAGCCGAAAAGAGGGCACCCACUCCUGGAUGCAGAUGGUGAUCAAGAUCAUUUUGUUGAUAUAUUAGAUAGACAAGAUAAAAAACAUGAUAUAGCUGGUGACCAAGAGCCGAUUGAGGACACCGAUAACCUGAUGGAAACACCAACCCGAUCAACGCACAUUAACGACCAAAGAUACAUACCUAGAAUUUUGCAUAGGAUACUGGCGUACUGGUCAAUUCCCAAGGAGCAGCCAUUGACAAACGAUGAUCUUCUCCCUGCACUAGGCAUGUCAAUCAUAUAUAGCCUUGCUGGUUGUGAUCAAAAUAACUGCGCGAAAAUCGACAAAGUAACUGACCUGAUCCCCAAAAUCAUUGGAUUCACAAGCUUCAGAAGUGCAAUGGUAAAUUCUGAAGCACAACAGAAGGU
rnacentral:lncRNA from 1 species